AGCGAACGCUGGCGGCAGGCCUAACACAUGCAAGUCGAGCGGAUGAGUGGAGCUUGCUCCAUGAUUCAGCGGCGGACGGGUGAGUAAUGCCUAGGAAUCUGCCUGGUAGUGGGGGACAACGUUUCGAAAGGAACGCUAAUACCGCAUACGUCCUACGGGAGAAAGCAGGGGACCUUCGGGCCUUGCGCUAUCAGAUGAGCCUAGGUCGGCUUAGCUAGUAGGUGAGGUAAAGGCUCACCUAGGCGACGAUCCGUAACUGGUCUGAGAGGAUGAUCAGUCAAAGUGGAACUGAGACACGGUCCAGACUCCUACGGGAGGCAGCAGUGGGGAAUAUUGGACAAUGGGCGAAAGCCUGAUCCAGCCAUGCCGCGUGUGUGAAGAAGGUCUUCGGAUUGUAAAGCACUUUAAGUUGGGAGGAAGGGCAGUAAGUUAAUACCUUGCUGUUUUGACGUUACCAACAGAAUAAGCACCGGCUAACUACGUGCCAGCAGCCGCAGUAAUAC
rnacentral:rRNA from 1 species